UCUAAGGUAAUAAUGGAAAGUUUCACAUAAUUAUUUGAUAGAGCAAGAAAGAAUGAGGAUUAGAAAGAGAUGUGAUGCUUCCCCCAUUUAUCUCCACCAGCCAAUUUUAGUAUAAAAGCAAGUAUCAGAUAAUAUCUACUAUACAGCCACUAUCAUCUUAUGUUGACACCAAGACUACUUCAACAUCAAGACUGCCUACUCUGCUACUAUUUGCCAGCACUAUCACACAAUAUCCUAACAAAGUUCAGCUCCAAUCUCAAGUGGGCUACCAACACCAAACUUCAUCAGCCAAAUUUUAUUGAGGUGUGAGUUUGCUCCAGCUUCAAGACAGUAGGCUACCAACACCAAACUUCAUCAGCCAAAUUUUAUUGAGGUGUGAGUUUGCUCCAGCUUCAAGACAGUAGGCUACCAACACCAAUCUUCAUCAACAAAAUUUAAUUGAAAUAACAAAUGAGAAGCAAUGAGCAGCAAUAUUCAUUUAUUCAAGGGGGGCAGAAGAAAAAAAGAUAGAAUAAAAGUUACCACUGGUCAGUUCACAGAAUUGGAGAGUGCAUUCAAUAAUGCAUUAAAGACUUAUUAUUACAAGAAUGAUAAAUAUAAGGAUAUUUGUAAGCUAUUAAUUGGUAUUAAAUUGGAAAUUAUCAACUUAUUAUCACUCAUUUUAAAUCAACAUCAAUGUUUAAAAUUCAAUAUUCUUGUGGAAUGUACAUAUAAGAAAAAAUCAAUUUCUCAUGAUUUCAAUUAUCAAGAUCGCACUUUCAAAACCAAGAACAUUACUAUUGUAAAGUCAUCAAAUUUAGAGAAUGUAUUACAGUAUGUUUUGAAGAAAAUUUGUCAUGAAGAAUCUAUAUAUGAAGGAUAUCAAUCAGGAUGGACACUUUCGAAAAUUGAUGGUGUUCUUAUAAGAGUGAACAAAUACAAACCUCUUAGAGGUAGAUCUUAUAUUCCACUUCCUAAAAAAAUACAAAAUAAAAUGGCUAUAAUAAACUGCAAGAAUAUUGAUAACAAAUGUUUUAUGUGGGCUAUUCUUUCUGAUUAUGUUCAGACCCGUCCUGAAAGGAUAUCAUAUCAUCAUAGAAAUCCAAUAUGAAAAUUCUAUUUCAAAGGAAUCUCUU